GACGAACGCUGGCGGCGUGCCUAAUACAUGCAAGUCGAGCGCAGGAAACCAGAUGACCCCUUCGGGGUGAUUCUGGNGGAAUGAGCGGCGGACGGGUGAGUAACACGUGGGCAACCUGCCUGUAAGACUGGGAUAACUUCGGGAAACCGGAGCUAAUACCGGAUAGUAUUUCCUUUCUCCUGAUUGGAAAUGGAAAGACGGUUUCGGCUGUCACUUACAGAUGGGCCCGCGGUGCAUUAGCUAGUUGGUGGGGUAAUGGCCCACCAAGGCGACGAUGCAUAGCCGACCUGAGAGGGUGAUCGGCCACACUGGGACUGAGACACGGCCCAGACUCCUACGGGAGGCAGCAGUAGGGAAUCUUCCGCCAAUGGACGAAAGUCUGACGGAGCAACGCCGCGUGAGCGAUGAAGGCCUUCGGGUCGUAAAGCUCUGUUGUUAGGGAAGAACAAGUACGAGAGUAACUGCUCGUACCUUGACGGUACCUAACCAGAAAGCCCCGGCUAACUACGUGCCAGCAGCCGCGGUAAUACGUAGGGGGCAAGCGUUGUCCGGAAUUAUUGGGCGUAAAGGGCUCGUAGGCGGUUUCUUAAGUCUGAUGUGAAAGCCCACAGCUCAACUGUGGAGGGUCAUUGGAAACUGGGGAACUUGAGUGCAGAAGAGGAGAGUGGAAUUCCACGUGUAGCGGUGAAAUGCGUAGAUAUGUGGAGGAACACCAGUGGCGAAGGCGACUCUCUGGUCUGUAACUGACGCUGAGGAGCGAAAGCGUGGGGAGCAAACAGGAUUAGAUACCCUGGUAGUCCACGCCGUAAACGAUGAGUGCUAGGUGUUAGGGGGUUUCCGCCCCUUA
rnacentral:rRNA from 1 species